rnacentral:rRNA from 1 species
UCCAGACUCCUACGGGAGGCAGCAGUGAGGAAUAUUGGUCAAUGGGCGCAAGCCUGAACCAGCCAAGUCGCGUGAGGGAAGACGGCCCUACGGGUUGUAAACCUCUUUUGCCGGGGAGCAAGCCUGAGCACGUGUGCCCAGGCGGAGAGUACCCGGAGAAAAAGCAUCGGCUAACUCCGUGCCAGCAGCCGCGGUAAUACGGAGGAUGCGAGCGUUAUCCGGAUUUAUUGGGUUUAAAGGGUGCGUAGGCGGAUUUUUAAGUCAGCGGUAAAAUGUCCGGGCUCAACCCGGGCCGGCCGUUGAAACUGGGGAUCUUGAGUGGGCGAGAAGUAUGCGGAAUGCGUGGUGUAGCGGUGAAAUGCAUAGAUAUCACGCAGAACUCCGAUUGCGAAGGCAGCAUACCGGCGCCCGACUGACGCUGAGGCACGAAAGCGUGGGGAUCGAACAGGAUUAGAUACCCGAGUAC